rnacentral:rRNA from 1 species
UACAGAGGUCUCAAGCGUUGUUCGGAUUCAUUGGGCGUAAAGGGUGUGUAGGUGGCGCCGUAAGUCGGGUGUGAAAUUUCGGAGCUUAACUCCGAAACUGCAUUCGAUACUGCGGUGCUUGAGGACUGGAGAGGAGACUGGAAUUCAUGGUGUAGCAGUGAAAUGCGUAGAUAUCGGGAGGAACACCAGUGGCGAAGGCGACUUCUUGGCCUGUUCUUGACGCUGAGGCGCGAAAGCUGGGGAGCAAACGGGG